CAGUGAUGUGUAAGCAGAAGAACUUGAAGCUUUCCACCUGCUCCACUGCGGUCCCGUCGAUGUGGAUAGGGGGGCGCUCCCUCUGCUGUUUCCUUAAGUCCACGAUCGAAUUCGCCAAAGCUCUAGACUAGAGCAUAUCAGUAAGUAUUUGUUUGUUGUAGUUACGUGUAUUUUAUUUUAAUUUUUUUACAUAAUAUAUAUUUUUUAAACUCUUCAUUGAAAGGAAAAAUCGGUUGGCUAUUUAACUUUUUAUUUAUUUACAAGCUAUAGCCUAGACGUGUUGUGUUUUCAGGCACACACUGCAGUUUAUAAACUAAAUAGUAUGGCUGUAUGGGCCUACUGGAAUGAUUAUUUGUGGAAAUAUGAAUUAAAACUCCUUUGAAGUAUUACAUAGAUUCACCUACAAAGGCAAAUCAUCAGUGACAAGCUUUCGGGUUUACUGGCCUAACGAUUUUAACGCUAGGUCAUCUACCACCCUGCAUUUGAGUAGGCCUAUGCAACCGAGCAUUUUUCCCGACAGAGGGAGAUGUUCUCAAACUUUUAGUCAAACCCCAUGGGAGGAGCUGAUAAACAACUUGUAUCACAAUGACCGUUGGAACAAUUGUGUUAAACCUGUUUGAAACUGUGAAACGCAUCUAGAUCUACAUGCAACUACGAAAUUAAAAACAUGUGCGUGCGUGCAUGAAACAUGUAGCCAAAAGAUAGGCCUUUUAUAUGGUUCUAGUUUCGAUGGUGUGGGCCUAUCAUUUCUAUACAUUGUAUUCUAAUAAGCUUUUAUUUUGUAUGCUUUACAGUAAAUAUAGUUUGUGUGUCCUACUUAUGUAGGCCUAUGCGAUGAUGCAAUUUAUAGCCUAAGUGUUAAACAUUAAAUAAAUCAAACUUAACCAACAUUUAAUUGUGUAGAAUGUAAAUCGAAUUCAAAUGAAAAACGAUGAAGAGGAAGACUUAGAGAUAAACCAUAGUCUACUAUUUUGUUUGUUGAAACAAUACACUUUUGGCGCGGAAAAAAAAAAUAUAUAUAUAUAUAUGUCUUUAAAAAUCAUUAAUUAUGAAGAACCACAAUCUCGUUCUGAAAAUGAGAAACCAUUUUUUUCACUGAACUGGACUGCUUCUCUUGCGCGCAUUUGAGGCAUAGCCUACAAUGACUGAGCGUCAGUUUUGCACGUUCUGAACUAUUUGUUUGUAUUAUAUGCACUGUUCAUUACAAGAACUACAAGCAAUUUCCCAAUUAAAGCUACACGCAGUAAUUCCUUGACAUCACUUGGAGGGCUCCCUGUCGUCUACUGUGGCUCAGAUGACCAGCAGGAGCUGCCAGCGCCCUGUGGAGAGAGAGAGCUUCAGAGAGAGAGAGAGAGCAAGAUAAACGAACGAUUCUGUGCGUGCGUGAUGGACAUUUAAACAUCCACUCAUCUGAAAUUGCAAAUUGACGUACCCCAUUUGACUGUGUACGUGGAUCGGGGUGAUUGAUGGCAGUGAUGGAUGUCACUUCCUGUUGUCCUACUGGUUAUCUCAGGGCCUGAGGUGGAGGACAGCACCUUAUCCCUUGUCACUGAAAUCCCUAGCUCACACCCCGGUCCUCCCCUCCCUUGUCCCCUUCAGCCGGCUUUCAGAGGACCCCUCCCCCUUCCUAGUUCAACGUUUAGAUUCUCCUCCAGUAGAAAUUAAUGGAACUUAUCUGGACAUGCCGCCGGAGUAAUUUGUCAGGAAGCCUGUCGCCAAGAACAACGCAAGAGGUUUCCGUCAGCCUUACAGUGUGUGUGCCAAGGUGAAGGAUGACUAGGAAUCCUGUUAUUUUGUUUGGUAGUAUGUUUUUUGAAGUUGUCCUUUUCCACAGAAAAGAUACAUCUAGGUAGGCUAUGUACAUCCAUCCAUGCGUGUUAUACUGUGUAUUAAUGAACUAUGUUGGACUGACCUGGUGGGUGAUGUGAGGUCAUGAACUACCAGAAUCAGGUUGUGUUCUAUUAGAAAUCACACAAUGUUGAAUGCAGGGUAAUGAAUGAAGGAUGAGUCAUUGCCGGUGAAUCUCUUGAAUCACUCUGUGCUGCUUAGAAACACAGCGUCCGGACUCUACUUUAAAUAGUCUACUGUAUGCGUUUAUCCUGUCUGUGUAGAGAUGCCAAUCCCACAGCCAGAAAAAUGUAAUGAUGCUUCCAGUUUCCUUAUUAUAAAGCACAGUCCCACUGGGUACACAUUGGUUGAA